CCGUCUCGAUCUGGUCCGGACUGAUGAAGUGGAUGUGGGUGUCGAUCCCGCCAGCCGUGAGGAUCUUGCCCUCGCCGGAAAUGACGUCCGUGGCGACGCCGAUCACGAUGUCCACCCCGUCCAUCAUGUGCGGGUUGCCGGCCUUGCCGAUCCGCAUGAUGUGUCCGUCGCGGACGGCGACGUCUGCCUUGAAGAUUCCGGAGUGGUCGAUGACCACGACAUUGGUGAUCACCACGUCGGGAAUGUCCACGUCCCGCACCAGCUGGCCGUUCUGGCCCAUGCCGUCGCGG
rfam:Luteococcus japonicus LSP_Lj1 genome assembly, contig: Scaffold3